CUGUAACUGUUCAUGAUUGUGUUCACAUAACUGUGUGUGUCUGACUGUCUGCUUGUAAAUGUUUGUGUGACUGUCUGCCUGUGCCUGUGUGUGACUGUGUGUGUCACUGUAGCUUUGCGUGUCACUGUAGCUGUGCCUUUGUGUGUGACUGCCUGUGUGUGUCGCUGUAGCUGUGCCUUUGUGUGUGUGUCGCUGUAGCUGUGCAUUCGUGUGUGACUG